rnacentral:lncRNA from 1 species
AAAAGACAAAGCUCAGGACACUGAGCAAAGAAAAUGAACAAUUCUUUCACAGAAGGGGAAGCCCAAGUGGCUGAGCAACGUCUGAGGAAGAGCUCUCACUUCCCAGGAAGGCGGGAAACGGAAGCGAGACAGCGCUGGGGAAGCAACUGCAUUGCACAUCCCCCUGUUCGAGUUCGUGCCAUAUGGUUUGAUUUCCCGGAACUAGAGGUUUGGCUUGUACUCUGGGGGAUCCUCAUGGCUGAGACCCAAACCCUGGGCCUGAACCACCCAAGGUAAUGAGAAGCAGGAACAAAGGUCCACUCAUGAAGUUGCUUCUGGAUCGGGGAAUUAGGACCCUCUUGUUCAGUUCAGGCUGAUUGAGACCACCAACCCAUAAACUGGGCCUGCACAGAUGUCUCAUAAGUGACCUGUUAACUUCAAGGGGCUACCCUCAGAUCCUGCUCUGCCAUUUUGUGAACAUGAGUCCUAUGAAGAGGCCUGGAGUCUGACUACGCUUGCACAGAUCAUCAAUUACCUCACUGCUCCUCACCUCCAAUCACCUCUCUCCACAUUUCAGACUACCUUCUCCCCUACUCCAUAAAUAUCCCUGAGUCCCCAUUUCCAGUGAAACGGAUUUGAGACGCGUUCUCUUGUUUCCUCACUGGGCUGCCUUGUGAUUAAG